rnacentral:rRNA from 1 species
UCAGCAUGUCGCGGUGAAUACGUUCCCGGGUCUUGUACACACCGCCCGUCACACCACGAGAGUUUGUAACACCCGAAGCCGGUGGCCUAACCGUAAGGAAGGAGCCGUCUAAGGUGGGACAGAUGAUUGGGGUGAAGUCGUAACAAGGUAUCCCUACCGGAAGGUGGGGAUGGAUCACCUCCUUUCUAAGGAGA